UCCCUGAUAGCUCAGUUGGUAAAGAAUCUGCCUGCAAUGCAGGAGACCCUGGUUCGAUUCCUGGACCAGGAA
rnacentral:tRNA from 1 species